AAAUUUUUUCUUUCUUCCCUGACUCUGUCCUCACGCGCCCACUCUUCCUCUGUCUCUCUCUCUUUCCAGCUUGCCCCCUCAUUUCUCUCACCACCGUCGUCGUGCUCCAUCAUUUCUCUCAAAGUCCGUCCCCCUCCCUCUCUAGCUGGAAGCCCAUCUGCCUCCUUCUCUUGCUCAAGGGUCGCUUCACUCUCUCACUCACCAUCCGCCGUCCGCUAUUGGUUUUCAAGAUUAUGUCUAGUUAUAUGCCUCCUCUACCAUGUGGUUGUGGUCGUGGUCAUGGCCUGCCAGUUCCACCAGUGUCGUCUGAUGCUUCCCAUGCUGGGAAACAUUAUUUUGAUGACCCCUACCUGACACGGUCGUACCUUCGCCCGCCGCAGAAACUCUAGAUGAUGUUGGACCAUCUACUGCGGCACCGGCAGCUGUCUGCCACUCCAGCGGCUAAUCCUACCAUUCGUGGGUUGUUCUACCAACACCAGCAAUUCCCCCACCAUCAGCGUGCCAGUAUAACAACCUCAACGAUGAGGGAUUAAUUUAUUUAUGAAUAUUUUUUAGUAUUAUUUUAUCUUGAAAAUCACUAAUUAAUAAGUCCUUUUAGGUCUGACCGCAAAUUCCACGAGCGCAUCAAUCCGAUGGUGCAAGGACACUUUCCCCCCCCCCCCCCUGGGGGGUGGGGAUGUGUAAGGCAGGUGCCGCCAGAACACCAACAAUUCUGGUUCGAGAGCAUGGAGGUGACCUACUGGUGGGCCUGUGACGAUGAGUAUAUGUUUCGGGUCUUCCACAUGUGGGCGAGCAAGUUCAUUUGAAAACAGAUGUCUGUCACCCGAAAGGAGCUGGUCAAGCCACUUUGGCUAGCCACCAAGAUAUGGCUCUAGCUCCAGGCAUACUAGGCCAGUGUGGACUUCCAAGAGGAGUCCGCGAAGAAUCAGGCGAACACCACGGUGUCCUCUACUGUGUACCGCGAGGGAUCUUCCUCUUUCAGCAUGCACAAGAGAAAGAUGGAGGCAGAGCUCGGUAAGCCGCCCAAGAAGAUGGAAUUGUUCGCCAAAUGCUACAAGAAGGACUAUGACAGUCGACCGCCUCCACUAGCACCCCAGGACAACCUCCAACAUACCUCCCUUGCUACGAACGAGGACGAUAUGAAUGAGGAGAGUUUAGGUUAGGUUUUAUCUUUUUUUCUAAAAAAUAAAAAUUAAAAUUGGAUGAUAUUUUAUAUUAAUAUGAUAACUUUUU